rnacentral:rRNA from 1 species
UUUAUUGGAGAGUUUGAUCCUGGCUCAGGAUGAACGCUGGCGGCGUGCCUAAUACAUGCAAGUCGAGCGAAUGGAUUAAGAGCUUGCUCUUAUGAAGUUAGCGGCGGACGGGUGAGUAACACGUGGGUAACCUGCCCAUAAGACUGGGAUAACUCCGGGAAACCGGGGCUAAUACCGGAUAAUAUUUUGAACUGCAUGGUUCGAAAUUGAAAGGUGGCUUCGGCUGUCACUUAUGGAUGGACCCGCGUCGCAUUAGCUAGUUGGUGAGGUAACGGCUCACCAAGGCAACGAUGCGUAGCCGACCUGAGAGGGUGAUCGGCCACACUGGGACUGAGACACGGCCCAGACUCCUACGGGAGGCAGCAGUAGGGAAUCUUCCGCAAUGGACGAAAGUCUGACGGAGCAACGCCGCGUGAGUGAUGAAGGCUUUCGGGUCGUAAAACUCUGUUGUUAGGGAAGAACAAGUGCUAGUUGAAUAAGCUGGCACCUUGA